rnacentral:rRNA from 1 species
AUUGAACGCUGGCGGCAUGCCUUACACAUGCAAGUCGAACGGCAGCACGGGAGCAAUCCUGGUGGCGAGUGGCGAACGGGUGAGUAAAGCAUCGGAACGUGCCCAGUCGUGGGGGAUAACGUAGCGAAAGCUACGCUAAUACCGCAUACGAUCUGUGGAUGAAAGCGGGGGACCGUAAGGCCUCGCGCGAUUGGAGCGGCCGAUGUCAGAUUAGGUAGUUGGUGAGGUAAAGGCUCACCAAGCCGACGAUCUGUAGCUGAUCUGAGAGGACGACCAGCCAAACUGGGACUGAGACACGGCCCAGACUCCUACGGGAGGCAGCAGUGGGGAAUUUUGGACAAUGGGCGCAAGCCUGAUUCAGCAAUGCCGCGUGCAGGAUGAAGGCCUUCGGGUUGUAAACUGCUUUUGUACGGAGCGAAACGGCUUCCACUAAUACUGGGGGCUAAUGACGGUACCGUAAGAAUAAGCACCGGCUAACUACGUGCCAGCAGCCGCGGUAAAAC